AGGAACAUUACACUUCCUUUGGUUUACCGGCUCAUCAAACUUGCUUUGACUUUGCCAGUAACGAUAGCAUCUGUUGAAAGAGUUUUCUCAACCAUGAAUAUCAUAAAGAAAUAUUUGAGAAAUAAGAUAUCUGAUGAUUGGUUGAAUGAUCUGAUGAUAUGCUAUGUUGAGUGA
rnacentral:rRNA from 1 species